rnacentral:rRNA from 1 species
CAGCCGCCGCGGGAAUACGGAGGGAGCUAGCGUUGUUCGGAAUUACUGGGCGUAAAGCGCGCGUAGGCGGUUACUCAAGUCAGAGGUGAAAGCCCGGGGCUCAACCCCGGAACUGCCUUUGAAACUAGGUGACUAGAAUCUUGGAGAGGUCAGUGGAAUUCCGAGUGUAGAGGUGAAAUUCGUAGAUAUUCGGAAGAACACCAGUGGCGAAGGCGACUAACUGGACAAGUAUUGACGCUGAGGUGCGAAAGCGUGGGGAGCAAACAGGAUUAGAUACCCCAGUAGUCCCUGUCUCUUAUAC